rnacentral:rRNA from 1 species
UACGUAGGGUGCGAGCGUUGUCCGGAAUUAUUGGGCGUAAAGCGUCCGUAGGCGGUUAGAUAAGUCCGGUGUUAAAGGCGCGAGCUCAACUCGUGUAGGGCAUUGGAAACUACUUAACUAGAGUAUAGUAGGGGAAGCUGGAAUUCUUGGUGUAGCGGUGAAAUGCGUAGAUAUCAAGAGGAACACCUGUAGCGAAAGCGGGCUUCUGGGCUAUUACUGACGCUAAUGGACGAAAGCCAAGGUAGCGAAAGGG